AAAAAAAUGGGACAACCAUGGAUUUACCAUUUGAACUUGGUGUUUAUUGGGCAUUGACAUUUUUUGGACCGUUGUCCAUUAAGGACCGCCCAAUAUCAGUCGGAAAAAAAAAUGUCCGCAUGGACACGCCCAAUAGUCUAUGGACGGACCAUUUUGACAGCUCUACAGACACAAAUAGGCACGAGACUACAGUGAAAACCGAGCAAACCGAACCGAACAAACCGAUAUUUUCGGAUUUUGAACCGAUGAUAUUUGAAAUGGGUUUCGGUUUUUGGGUCAAUUCGGUUAGGCAAUCCAUAACCGAGCGGUUUCUUCGUUUCUCUUCUAAUCAUCAUGUUUUCACCAUAACCCCUAUGAAGAUACCCUCUGCAACUACGAUAGCAGAAACAGGAUGAUGGAGAAUCUCCAUUGAAAAUGUUAGAAUGUUAGAUACGACAACGAUAAAUUUUUUAACUAAAACGCUAGGUUUGUUGCAUUUGAUGUUUCUGCUAAUAUGGACUUGUUUGAUAAAAAAAAUAUGUGUUUGAAAAUCACGGCCCACAAAAUCAAAACCCUUAUCCUAUUAUUAAUUAUUCGCGGCCCACAAAAUUAAAACCUUUAUCCUAUUAUUAUUCAUUUAUUCCUGUAACAUAUUUUCUUCUCCAUCGUUGGUUUCUCAUUUUCUUUCCAUCUCAUCCAAUAAUAUUUAUUUCUCAAAUCAAAUAAAAUCUUUGAGGCUUGGUUUCUUGUCAAGUAGAGAGAGAGGGUGGAUCAUUCGAUUCUUCUUGUUUCAAUCAUGAGGCUUGAUUUCUUGUAGCUUUUUGUUGUAAUUAUCUUCUCAUCUUUCUUCUUUUGAUAUCUCCAUUUUCAAUCUCACUUCUAGUCCUCUACCUUUUUUUCUUUUUCCAGUUUCCAAUUGGUUUUACUAGGCCUCUUUUCUGGAUUUUAAGGUCAAAUAUUGCCCAUGGAAGAGGCUGAUUUUGAAGAAAAAGAUCCUAGGUUAAACGAAUACAUCAAAAAAAUUAAUUUCGGUCUAUUACGAAACUGAUUUAAAAGCCAAUAACCGAACCGAAAAAACCAAGUACCGAACCAAAAUUUUGUUCGGUUCAAUUCGGCAGAAUUUGUUAUAACCGAAGAAACCAAAAAACCGAAUAAAUUAAACCAAUUAAACCGACUAAACCGAAUGUCCAGGUCUAGACACAAAUGGUGGAAGUAGACAAAGCAAAGUUGAAAUUAGAAGACAAGCAUAGGCAUCUCUUUUUAAAACUAUGUCAACCACAUAUUUUACUUUUUUUUUUGCUUUGCUAUAUAAUUUGUAAUGUAGAACACAAGCAUACUCAUUCUUCUCUUGUUCUUGUAUCGUUUUUUUUCUUCUUUUCUUACCAAUAAAACGCAACAGGCAAUAUUGAACGCAACAGCCAAAACACAUUAUUUCUUACCUCUUCUCAUACUUCAGCAAAACAAAUUUUAUACGAAAAGCCCAAAUUUUACUUCUCAUACUUUUUUUUAUUAUACUUCAUCAUUUCUUCUAAACUAAGAUGACGUCUUCUUCUCGUGAUAAUUUUCAUGAAGAGUUGGAUGAAUAAUUUGAUAAUCUUUUUGAUGAAGCAUUUGAAAAUAAAUUUUAUUUAUAUGGUGACUGUCAAGAACCAACCAAACCAAGGAAAAAUGAGAGUAUGUUGAAAGAGAUUGUGAAGAAGGACACAUCAAGUUAUGGAACGAUUAUUUUAGUGAAAAUACAACUUUGUCUAUUAAUUAAUUUUGAUGACGUUUUCUAACGAAUAAGUCCUUGUUUACGCGUAUUGCAUCACUCCAAUGAAAUUUCAUUCUUUCAACACAGAAGAUAUGCAACUGGAAGGUUAGGGUUCUCUACACUAUAUAAGGCUACAACAUCAAUUUGUAUGCUGGAAUAUGGUCGUGCGGCUGAUGUGGUUGAUGAAUACCUCCGUAUUGGUGAAAACACUUCACUUUCUUGCAUGCAUAAUUUUGUUGAAGCAAUAGUUAUUUCGUUCGGAGAUGAGUACCUACAAAAACUCGAAAAUAUUUUUAUUUGCAACCACUCAAGAAACUUGCCGUAAAGAUGUCGUGCAUGUAUAAUACUUCACAAUAUGAUAGUAGAAGACAAACGAGAUGGGUACACUUACUUUGAUGUAUCUCAAUUCGAACAACCGGAAUCAACAAGAAUUUCACAAGUAGAUUUCACAUAUUCUACAUAUAAUCUUUCAAAUCUCAAGAAUAUGUUGGAUACUCGAACUCAAAUUCGUGAUCGAAAUGCACAUCAACAACUGAAAUCUGAUCUUGUUGAAUAUAUAUGGAAUAAAUUUAGCAA
rnacentral:sRNA from 1 species